rnacentral:lncRNA from 1 species
ACUUGAUCUUCUGGAAAAAUACCAAAGUAGAGAAAACACUGCUUGAGCGCAGUUGACAAAUCAUUGUAGCUUAAUGAUAGUAUGUUAGAUAUUUCAAUAAAUUUAUCUUCUUUAAUGUUCUUCCACCUUUUGCCAUUCGUUUAGCCCCUUUUUAUGCGAAAGUAGUCCGCUCAAUACAACAAUUGCAAGAGGUAAGCCUCUACACUUUUCCACCAUAUCCUUAGCUAGACUUUCCAUUUCUGGAACCAUUGCUCCAACAUCAAGCAGUUUCCUACAAAAGAGAUCCCAACUUUCUUCUUGACUUAGGAAACGAAGUUUAUGAACAAAACNNNNNNNNNNNNNNNNNNNNNNNNNNNNNNNNNNNNNNNNNNNNNNNNNNNNNNNNNNNNNNNNNNNNNNNNNNNNNNNNNNNNNNNNNNNNNNNNNNNNNNNNNNNNNNNNNNNNNNNNNUAAGAAGAUCCAUUGUGUUGUACUCUUGAGAAACACAUAUCCAAGAGCGUGUAGGGAAACUAGAGGCUAUAUUAGGACUGGUGUAAAGUUUUCUCGCAAGAGUGGUCUUGCCUAAACCCCCCAUUCCAUAAAUGGAGAGGACGCUUCGACGAGGCUCUGCUUUGAGAAGUUCAGCUAGCAAGUUUUGUACAACAUCCUGAAAGCCAACAAAAAUGUAAUCGUGGUCAUCCACAUAUGAGGUAGUUCUCCUCAAUGUUGCAACCUGAUUACUUGGCCCUUCUCCAGCAUUACUAUUGAUAUUUGUAAUACCAUAAGUCUCUCGUUUGCGAGAGAUAUCCAUGAUUCGUUUCUUGAGUGAUUUGAUCUCCUUGGCGACAUUGUAGAAUUUCUUCUCCUUCCUACAUAUGCAAGCACAAGCCUUGAGAUAACUAGCACGUUUACCAGCCUCAAAGCUGUAAGUUUCGAGUAUAGCAACAGCGUCAUUAGCAAUAGAGUUGAUCUCAAACACCCAUUGUACAACUCUAUGAUCCGCACAUUGCUUUAGUUCUGCAUCUUUGAGGAAAGGUUGUAUGAAGAGUAGCUCAUUUCUCAGCCAUGUAAUUUCAUCUCUGAGACUUGUAAGCAGGGAAACUUGUUGACUGAGGAAAUCGCCCAAUUUUCGUAGUGCAAAUGACAGAAAGGCAUCAGCCAUCUUCAGGAGUGUUGAUUUUUAUUUAGAAAAGAGGGGGCUGUAGGCUGUAUAUAUACAAAUAAAGUUUAAGUCAAGAAUUGAUAUAAGGCCAAAAAUGGACGAUCAAUACGAAAGCAAGACAUGAAUUAUUUGCCGGCAUAUGCAUUGGUUAAAACACUAUGUGGCUGUGUUUGAUACUCAUCAAUGUCAUAUCAUGAUAACAAGUUAAGACAAUUCAAAUUGAAUUAUCACCUGAAAUUAAAUUUAUCUUUUGUAGUAACAUAAUCAGUAAUCACAUAUAGUUCCCUGAUAGUACAUAUAUUUUUUUUAAAUACAAUUUCCUUAGUAAAAAUCAUAGCACUCAUAGUGCAUAUAAUUUUUUCUUAAAAAUUAUCAUUAUAAGUAAAAAUAAAAUAAAAUGGGACCCCAAAAAUAUGGGCCCCAAGUAAUGGAUUUAGUGGCCUAGGGGUUAAGACGGCCCUGGUUGUGGUAAAUGACAGUUAGUGGUAUUAAAUACUUCUAGUAAUUCUAUUUUAUCAUUUACCGUAACUUUAUUAUAAUAGCUUUAUCACGCAACCUAUUUUAUUAUAAUACGAUAAAGAGGUUGUUUUCGAAAGACCCUUGGCUCAAGAAAAAGAUUUUGAAAGAAAUGCAAGAGCCAAAAAAGUUGCUAUGAAAAUAUGGAUUCCUCUGAAUAUUUAGUGAAGUCUGAAUUCUGAUACCAUGACGGUUUCUGAAGAAACCAGAAACUUCUCUAACAGACUAGUAAUUUGAUGAAGAAUAUUUAGUGAAAACUAAAAACAAGUAGCACCAAAAGCAUGGAAUAUUUAAUUUGCAUUGAUGGAGAAAUCAAGUUCUUGAGUUUUGUAAAAUAGACAAACACUGACUCUGUACCUUGCUGCAGAGUUGCAAUCUCCUUAUUUAGACUGAAGGUUCUUGAUCCGUCCAAGGGUCUUUCGAAAACAAUCUCUUUGUAAAAUAGACAGACACUGACUCUGAAUUCUGAUACCAUGACGGUUUCUGAAGAAACCAGAAACUUUUCAAACAGACUAGUAAUUUGAUGAAGAAGAUAGCUUCAUUUACUUGAUGAGUAACAAUCAGAUGUGAGUAGUCUAUUUAUACUACUCAAUAAGCUACUCAAUACAAGUUGUUGUUAGUAACUAACUGUCACUAUCUAUAACUAACUUAGUAACUAAUUAAUUAACACUCUUUUCUAACUGUUUUCUGGAAGUAGUCUGACAGAUUUCUUUGUUUGAGUUCUAUCAACAUGGUGCUAGAUAGUUAAAACAAAAACAACCAACAUUAUAGUAGAUCAAGCUAUAAUUAAUUUGAUUUAUGAAAAAACAUAGAACCAAUAGAGAAAAACAAUUGAGAAAGAUUGAACAACAGAGUCUUGCGUCUUAAGUGAAGAACUAAUCAUAAACUUAAAAGAAAGAAUUUCACUGAGAAAACGAUUUGGGUGGGGGAGAGGUGGGGGAAGACGAUUUCACAUGUCUUUAUUUAAUUCGUCACUUUGACGUGUCAUCAGCGAGUGUGUUACACACACCUUACACAUUUGGCUGAUUGUUAAAAAAGUGUCAAAAAGACAUAACGGGGCAUAACAUGAGGUGUCUAAAAUGAACAAAUUCUAGUUAAAGUGUCUAAGUGAAAACUUGUGCCAACUUUAGGUGGCCACCGAUGGAUUAGGCCAAUGAUAGUUAGGUACGAGCAUUACUCAUUCAGCUAAUAAACUAGAGCCUACUCUUGUUGCCCCGAUCCACAGAGAUUUAGUCAUUUGGCACUCUGAUUGUCUUACGAGGAGAUCCAUCUGUUGAUUUUUGGUGUGACCCUAAUUUCUAUUUCGUUCAUGUUUUUUUUGUCUUUCCAUUGUUUUGUUGUUGUAAUGUGAUUUCUUAUGUUUGUUAAAGUUGCAAGAAUUUUCAGGUUUAUGUCAGAAGAUUCAGUACUACUACUCACUACUAGUUAUCUAAUUUAAGUUAAACAAAGAGGAACUUGAAAAUAUUAGUUUAGAACAAAGUAACUUAAAAGAGACUAAAAUACUAAGUGUAAAUUACAAGAGAGAAAUGAAAACAUAUAGCCUUUGGUAGCCAAAAUCCAAAGUUGCAUUGUCUCUCCUCUGAUGGAUUAUUUUCCCUCUUCAAACUUCGAUGAGUUAGGGAUGACCUCUGAUAUAGCCUUUGGUAGCCAAAAUCCAGGUCGUUCGAUAGAGGCUGCACGAUCAAGUACCAAUGGAUCCCGCAAUGUGAUCUGAAUGCCAUCAUAUGUCCACAACUCUAGCUAAGCCAGCAACCGCAACAUCCAUGUUCUUGACAUUCCAGCUCGUUCCACGUGCUUUUACUUCCUGCUUUGGCCAUUGUCCUAAUUUAGAAACUCGCUCCAUAGAAAUCAGAGGCGGAAGAUAAGAAAAAAAAAAAAAGGAACAAUUAGAGGAUUUUAUUUACACAUACGGCACUAUGACAUCUGCUAUUGGCUAACUUGCAACAUGUUGUUAGUUGUUAACUUGUUUUUGCAACUACGACUUCUCUUUAGCAAAGAAUACUAUCUCACCUUUCAUUGUACUUCUCUCAAAUCUAUAUGUUGAUAUUCAACAAAAAACAUAAUACUCAUGUAGUUCAAGUGGAAUUGGCUAUAAAGUAGGAAAUAUUAUUGAAUCAGAAAUAGUGCAGGAAUUGGAGUAUAACCUGCAAUCUCACUCCAGCAUGGUUUUCUGUCUUUACUAGAUGAAGAGACACACUAGGUGAUGCCCAGACAGUGAUGUAGAUUGUUUCAACUGAGGCUUGAACUAGAUCCAGUCUAACUAUAUGUACAGUCUGCCCAUGCUGCAAGAAAAUGGUGAAAAUUGCAUUUUAGAGUCGAAAAGUCAUUUUUGCAGCCUUACCCUGCAUUUAAGGAAGAGGCUGUUUUCACAACUCGAACCCAUGACCUCCUAGUCACAUGGAAGCAACUUUAUAGUUACGUCAAAGCUCCCCUUCAGUAGACAAGUAAGAAAAGAUGUCCUCCAGUGGAAAAGGAAAACCAAAUAUAUCAGUCCCUCCCUUAACCAAUUGAGACUUGAUCUGGUUAAAUAUUAUGAAAAUAUUUUCUUUUCUCUUCAAGUGACAAUUUCUUCUCCUGUUUCCCCCAAAUAUUAUUUAACACGUACGCUAUUUAUAAAAUAAAAAUGAACAAAGUUAUGUAUAGGUACCUUUGCUAUUACCGAAGAAAACUUGCCAUAUGCUUGCCAAGAUCCAUCUCAUUUAAUUUCUCUUCAACAUCUUUCAUUCUCUCUGGAGUCUCCUUCAGCUCUGAACAGUGAUGGAUACCAAGACCUUUAAUGAGAGGCAUUGCACUUGUGCCUAAAUGCCAUCUUUCUAGGUUCCGAAGUUUUAUAAGAUGAAGGAACUCGAGUUGACUGAAGCUGUUAUCACUGCACAUUAUUUCUUUUCCUUCAUAAGCAUCUUCUAAUAUGAGAUUCCUUAGGUUUGGCAACAUUCCCAAAGUAGGCAUCGGAUCUUCCAUGAAUUUUGACUUCCUAAGAACCAUCAUUGUGAUGGAAUUUGGAAACAGAGGCAGUUUCUCUAUUUUCCCAUGUAAGCACAAUUUCUGGAGCUUUUGACAAGAAUUAACAAAUUCCAGGGAUGGGAAUGAUUCAAAACGUUCACAAAACAAUCUGAGAGUGCUAAGGUUUUUCAAGAUGCUAAUGUUGUUUAAGGAGUAAGAUUUCUUAAUACGUUGCAUGCUUAAUUCUCCAAGAUUGACUAAAUCAACAGGGUCAACAUCUAUCCACUGAUCACAACAAACGCCUUGAAGAACUUGAAGACUAGUGAGUUUGCUUAUAAGUUUCAGAGGUUUUGAAUACGAAGCAACUAAAUGUCUUAGAUUUAUCAGGUCAGCUGUCACGCGGGGUAGUCUGCAAGAGUAUAGCCCCUCAUUGACAAUAAGUGUCUGUAGAUUCUUGAGGUUGCCAAUGGAAGAUGGAAGAUCAUGGAUACCUCUCAAUCUUAAGAACUUGAGGUGGUACAAACUUCCUAUGGCAUCAGGUACUGAUGCAGAAUGCCUAUUGUAAACAGGCAUAUCCAAGUACAACACAUAUAGAUGCUGGAAAACACUCCUGAAUUUUAUAAGACUCAUCUUAUGAAAAUCUGGAUCAAAGAACAUAAUUGACCUCAACUUUAAGUUAGAAAGAUCAAGUGAGAGGUACCUUACUCCUUGACUAUGAAUGCCAUGUCUGAUACAUAAAGAGGAUAUGGAGUGGUUCUUUGGAUCAUAAAUGUCAAAGAAGUUCACCUCCAAUGCCUUUUGUAUCACAAGAUCACGAAGUAAAUCAUGAACCCUACAAUGAGUAACUUUUUCCCAAAAUGUGUCUACCACUUGAACCAAGCUUCUUCUUAUCAGCUCAUUCAAGAAGCCUUCAGCCACAUCCUCCAUUCUUUCUUCUCCAUUUGGUACGAAACCCUCAGCCAUCCACAACCUUAUUAUGUUAUCAGCCUCGAGAACUUGAUCUUCUGGAAAAAUACCAAAGUACAGAAAACACUGCUUGAGCACAGUUGACAAAAUCAUUGUAGCUUAAGGAUAGAAUGCAGGAGAUUUCAAUAAAUUUAUCUUCAAUAAUGUUCUUCCAAAGUUGAUCUUUCACUUCUUGCCAUUUGUCCACCCCCCUCUAUGCGAAAGUAGUCCACUCAAUACAACAAUUGCAAGAGGUAAGCCUCUACACUUUUCCACCAUAUCCUUAGCUAGACUUUCCAUUGCUGGAACCAUUGCUCGAACAUCAAGUAGUUUCCUACAAAAGAGAUCCCAACUUUCUUCUUGGCUUAGGAAACGAAGUUUAUGGAUAAAACCUCUGUUGUCUGCUCUUUCAGCGACAUCCUCUUUGCGCGUGGUAAUAAUAACUCUGCUGCCAUUCUUGCUAUCCGGGAAUGCUCUUUUCAAACUUUCCCAUGCUUCUCUCUGCCAUACAUCAUCAACCACCACAAGGUAUUUGCGUUCUUUUAAUAGAUCACGAAGAUAAAUUUCUAGAUCUCCUUCUGUCAUCCUUUCCAACAAAUCUAGAGUUUCGUUGGUGCGCCCUUGGAUGGAUUUUAUGAUAUUCCUGAAAAGAUCCAUGGUGUUGUACUCUUGAGAAACACAUAUCCAAGAGCGUGUAGGGAAACUAGAGGCUAUAUUAGGAUUUUUGUAGAGGUUUCUUGCAAGAGUGGUCUUGCCUAAUCCGCCCAUUCCAUAAAUGGAGACGACGCUUCAACGAGGCGCUGCUUUGAGAAGUUCAGAUAGCAAUGUUUGUACAACAUCCUGAAGUCCAACAAAAAUGUAAUCCUGGUCAUCCACAUAUGAGGUAGUUCUCCUCAAUGUUCUGACCUGAUUACUUGGCCCUUCUCCAGCAUUACUAUUGAUAUUUGUAAUACCAUAAGUCUCUCGUUUGCGAGAGAUAUCUAUGAUUCGCUGCUUGAGUGAUUGAAUCUCCUCGGCGACAUUGUAGAAUUUCUUCUCCUUCCUGUAUAUGCAAGCGCAAGCCUUGAGACAACUAACACCUUUACCAGCCUCAAAGCUGUAAGUCUCGAGUAUAGCGACAGCAUCAUUAGCAAUAGUGUUGAUUUCAAGCACCCAUUGUUGAACUCUAUGAUCUACACAUUGCUUUAGUUCUGCAUCUUUGAGGAAAGACUGUAUGAAGCGUAACUCAUUUCUCAGCCAUGUAACUUCAUCUCUCAGACUUGUUAUCAGUGAAAUUUGUUGAAUGAGGAAAUCACCCAAUUUUUGAACUGCAAAUGACACAAAGGCAUCAGCCAUCUUUAUGGUUGAAAAAAAGAAGAGAUGACUAUUGGAAAUCAAUAUUUUUUGAAAAAAGGUAGUGUGUAUGGAAAUUAAUAUUGGAAGCAGUAGAUUGAGAGAUGAAUAAUAUUGUUAUGAUGGAAUAAAUUAUUGAGAGUUUGAUAAGUGAUGAAUAUUGUUAACAUGGAAUUCAGUAUUUAAAGCUUAAAAAAUCCGACAGAGGAAAAAGUCUAAAAGUAGAAAGAUGAUAGAGUUUGAGGUUGAUGGUAAAGAAAGAAAAGUAUAUAUUCUCUACUAACUGCAAGCCAAGAAUUUAAAAUUGCAUGACACAAGUUAUGCUCAGUGUAGUGGUGAAGCCAAAAGUUGCCAUUCAAGAUUUAGUAUAUAUGUAUGAAAAAUAAGUUUUAACUUUUGUAUAAUUUUUUAUAUACAUAGUAUAAUUUUUCGACGAAAAAUGUCUGAUUGAACACCCUAAGCUAUAUGUGGCUACGCCACUGCUUCAUUGGCACAAGUUGUGUGUUUAGACAAGAACUUAUGUCCCAAGGCACAAGUCCCCCAGAGCAAACAACAACAACAAGUAGGGUCUGGAGAGGGCAAAAUGUAUGCAGACCGUACCACUACCUCGUGGAGGUAAAGGUUGUUUCAAAAAGGCCCUCGGCAAUAAGUCCCCUGGGUCAAAUAUCACGAUAUUUCUGUACUUUAUACUUUACUUAAAAAGACAUAGUAUCAUAUUAGAUCAAAUUUUAUUAUUCAGAAGAGUUGGUUUAAUUGUUCCUCCACCUAAAUCACUUUUUGCUAAUUAAUUUCAUCUUUAAAUUAUAGAUACCUUUCUUUUCUUUUUAACUAUCCUUGUUAGGGGAAUCUAUAGGAAAAAAUAUGAUGAACAUGACUUCUCAAUUUGAAGAUGCGUUUUGUAACUUUGAAGAGAAGAAAUAAAAUAUUUGAAUUCAGUCUCGGAGGUUAUUCCAAAAAGAUUUUGUAAGAGCUUGAAGGUCAAUAUCUCAAAAUUGAUUUGCUGAAAAAGAAUUUUGUUUCGAAUUGGUGAUUUUUCAAAAGAACUGAUGAAACAUCGAUGAGACUAAUAAUAUAAAAUUUGAGAUUAUUUGGGUAACAUUUGAAUUAGCUUUAGACUGAAUUUUUAAUUAUAGUUCGUUGAAAUUCAAAAUUACCGUCGAAUUAUAUCAAAAAUCAUAUGAUAAUCAUAUAGUGACGGAUGCAUUAUAUGUAAAUUGUUUUUUAAGUUUGGUAUUUUAUUGUAGUUGUAUUGUUUUCGGUCUCCCACUCGGUGUCCGAUACCCGCUAGAGCUCGACUAUCUCGAAUUCGCGCCGUGUAGAGCCAUUUGAGGGGAAGCGCUCUCUAACAAGUAAAUUCCACAGUACUCUUUAAUAUAAUUUUAUUUUAUUUUUUACUAAUUAAUUCAAAGAAGUAGAAUACUCUAUGGUUAAUUUUUGCAUAAAAAUUAGGAAAAAAACAUCUCAGAAAGUUACUUAGUUAUAACAAGCAACAAACAGUUUUGUGAACUAAUAGCCCACCAAUAAGCUCUUUAACAUAAGUAAUUUAUGUAGGGAAACUUUCGCAUAUAGCCACUAAUUAUAAAAAUAGCUUAAUUAUGUAUAUUGCCACUAAAAAUAGCUUAAUUAUACAUAUUGCCACUAAAAAUAGCUUAAUUAUGCAUAUAGCCACUAAAAACAAGUUAUACCAAAAUCAUGGAAUAUUUAAGUUGCAUUGAUGGAGAGACCAAUAGAGAUGGACAAAUCUAUUUAAACAACAUGUGAAACUCAAAACAAAUAGAAGAUAGGAAGAUAUACAAUAAUAGAGAGGCUAGAUACAUAUGGAUUCAAUUUUGAAAAUGAAAAUUCUAACCACAUUCCUUAUAAUUGGAAUAUUUUUGUUUGAUAGUUUUGUGAGAAGUGAACCAAAUACCAAAGAGAUUAGCCAUAUUUGCAAUGGGAAUGUGUAUGAUAAGACUUAAGAGUGGCCCAUUUGCACUAAGUUUGGCUUAUGCUGUUGAAGCAUUACAAAAUGUGACACUAAAUCAAGGUUAUGAUUACUUCAUAACAUCUCCUUAUCCUAAUGAUGCUUUAGCUUAUGGCCAUGCUACUUAGCUUGCAACUCCAUUAUUGAAUUUUCAGAUUGUGGCCUUUGUCUAAGUAGUGCAAAAUCAUUCUUGUUGAGUAAUUGUGAUGGUAGCAUUGGAGGUCAAGUUGAAUUUGUUGAUUGCUCAAUGAGGUACGAACAAUACUCGUUCAGCUAAUAAACUAGAGCCUAAUCUUUUUGCCAUGAUCCACGAAGAUUCAGUCAUUUGUCACUCUGAUUGUCUUAUGAAGAGAUUCCUCAUUGAUUUUUGAUGUAUCCCUGAUUCCUAUCUCGUUUCGUUCAUCUUCGUUUCUUCCUUUUUCCGUUGUUUUGUUUAUUAGGAAAGGCAAGCACAAAAUAAAUGUGCACGACAGGGCAAUAGCGGAAGAAAAUCCAAGUAAAAAAUUUCCCUUCUAUUUGAACCAAGAGAAGACAAAAUAAUGCAAGAAAAACACUGUUUGGGGUCGCAAACAAAUCAAUCAAGCAAAUAAAAUAAAUACAAACACGAGACACCAUAUUUAACAUGGAAAACCUCUUCGGUGUGAAGAGUAAAAACCACAAGGCCAAAGCUCCACUAAAAUCAACAAGAGUUACAAAAGUGUUCUCCAAAAUGGUCACCAACAAAGUGUCAAACAAUGAGCAACACAACUACAAGAUAGCACCAAACACUAGAGAAAUAAAAGGAGCAAAAACACCAAAUAUGCAGCUACUGUUCACGAGCAAAAAUCUGGAGUUACAGGACUCCAAAACACCCUCUUUCAGUUCUCAAUCAAAGAUUAAGUUGGAAGGAACAAGCUGUACAAAAAGCAGCUCAAUCGGAUAAGAAACGAAGUUGGAAUCGCGAUUUGAAAUUGGCUGCAAGGGCUUGUGCGAAAAUCUGCACUCUCUCACUGUUGUCUCUAUAUGUCUACUCUCAAUCUCAUGUAAUUCUUCAAAAUAAGACCUAAAAAGAAAGUCUUACAUAUGCACCAUAAUAUUGGGCUUAUAGACAAAAGUGGGCUAAUCAAAUUUGAGCUAAAUUUAUCCACAUAGGAAGGGAAAAAGGCCCAAAACCCAACAUUGUUGUUGACUUGUUGUAUCUAUAUGUACUAGAUGGUGGGUGCCCGGGCGCGCACGGACCCAAUAUUUAUACAUCUCUGUGUGUAAAAAUUAUCUUGGAACGCAAAACAGAUGAGAUAGCAGCACCAAAACAAAUGGAUCUAAAUCAAUGAGCAUCAAAAGAACACCAGAGAACGGUAACAAAAAAAUUUAUGCUUUAUUUAGUAGUUAACAUGAACUACAUGCAGUAGGAUGAUAAACAUAGCAAAUAAAGAGGUCUAAAAUAUAUUGAAUAAAUUAAGAAUUUAAAAUGCAAUUAUAACAGUGCAACGAUGUUUGUUGAACAACAAACAUAGAAUCAAAGUUAGGAAACCUCUCAUUUUGAGAAAUUUAUAGAAUCUUUCUUAAAGUUCAGUUUUAAUAACAAAAUGGUUUAUCAAAAUUUUAUUGAUCAAGAUAUCAAAUCUCACCAUAGGAGCUAGGUCAUUCUCAUGUGAUAUUAUAAGAUUUUCAAUAGCUACAUAUUAAUUUAUCAGAAGCUCAACUAUCCAAAUGAAUUUUAAAAGAUGCAUUUCAUUUUUUACCGUUAAUUCUAUACUACCUUAAAAGCAUUAACUCCAAACUUGAAUGUUGAAUUACAAUAAUACCCCCAAUUAAAAAUACUCAAUUUAUUUAUUUAUUAAUUUAAAUAAGUUUAUUAUAUUGAAAGUAGAUACCUUUUCAAAUUAAAGGAUUGCGACUUUUUCAAUGAGUUGUGACUUUUUUUUUACGGGUUCUGACUUUUUCAAUGAGUUGUCACUUUUCCAAAGGGUUGUGAUUUUUUCGAAGGGCUGUGACUUUUCUAAAGGGUUGUGCCUUUUCUGAUGAGUUGUGCCUUUUUCAAAGGGUUGUGGCUUUGCUGAUAUGCAGUGACUUUUUUGAAAGGUUGUGACUUUUCGGAUAAGGCACAAUUAANNNNNNNNNNNNNNNNNNNNNNNNNNNNNNNNNNNNNNNNNNNNNNNNNNNNNNNNNNNNNNNNNNNNNNNNNNNNNNNNNNNNNNNNNNNNNNNNNNNNNNNNNNNNNNNNNNNNNNNNNNNNNNNNNNNNNNNNNNNNNNNNNNNNNNNNNNNNNNNNNNNNNNNNNNNNNNNNNNNNNNNNNNNNNNNNNNNNNNNNNNNNNNNNNNNNNNNNNNNNNNNNNNNNNNNNNNNNNNNNNNNNNNNNNNNNNNNNNNNNNNNNNNNNNNNNNNNNNNNNNNNNNNNNNNNNNNNNNNNNNNNNNNNNNNNNNNNNNNNNNNNNNNNNNNNNNNNNNNNNNNNNNNNNNNNNNNNNNNNNNNNNNNNNNNNNNNNNNNNNNNNNNNNNNNNNNNNNNNNNNNNNNNNNNNNNNNNNNNNNNNNNNNNNNNNNNNNNNNNNNNNNNNNNNNNNNNNNNNNNNNNNNNNNNNNNNNNNNNNNNNNNNNNNNNNNNNNNNNNNNNNNNNNNNNNNNNAAAAAAAAUAAUUAUUUUUUGAAAUAGCUAUAUGUGCCGUCCCGUUUAUCCCAUCCCGUUCCGUUCCGGUCCAUUCCGGUCCGUCCCGGUUCUAUCCCGGUAUAUAGUGGGACGGGACGGAACCGAGCCUCCAUCCCGGUAGUUCCGGUCCGGUUCAUCCCGGUACCGGUCAACAACCCGGUCAAACCGUCCCGUUCCGGUCCGGUUCCGGUUCGUUCCGGUCCGGUGGUCCCAUUCCGGUCCGGUGCCCAGCCUUAGGCACAAUUAACACCUAUUCAUACUACUAUUUGACAGUUAUAAAAAGAGGGGUUUCCUCGCACUUUUAAACUACAUUUUCUUUAAGUUCUCUACUCUUCUUUUUCUUAAAAAAUCUCAAGUGUUAUUUGCAAAAAUUGAUUAAGUUCAAAAUUCGAGGUACCUCAUAAGAAAAAGUUGGUGAAAAAAUUGUAGGAAUCAUUCAUCAAUUCACACUCGUAUUUUUUUCUUACCAUUUUCAUGAGUUCAGUGACGAAAAGUUGUGGGAGAGACAAAAUAUUAAACAGAUAUGAAAAAAGGCAUAUGAUUUGGGUAAGAUAUUUCUUCUUUGUUUUUUAUUUUCUAUUCUUUUCCCUCAAACGAAGGAGUUUCUUCCUAAUUUUUCUAAAACAAUGGGUAUCAACGUAGUCCAUUGAAUUAUUAGUUUUGAUAUUAAAUUCAUUAUUCAAAAAUAGAUUUUCACUUUUACUUAUAAUAUGAUAACAUAGUCAUGAUAAUAAUUAUUUUUAAUAGAUAUGUAUGUAAAAAUGAAAGGAGAAAGUAAAGUGUUGGUGGCAAGAGAUUUAAAUCAAAUGGAACACUAGAGUGAAUAUAGCAUGAACAUAUAUUUUUGUCUUCCUUCUUCAUUGACUAUGUAUUGUUCCAUAUAAUUUUUCUUUAUGUCACAAGAUGCACACUCCUUACUAGCUAUAUAAAAAUAGAUAAGAAAAUUGUGAUUGAUCAUUAAAUGAUCUUAUAUCAUAUUAAUGAUUCUAUAAAUAAUACUUUACAUUUUAUUCAUCUAUUGUUUUUUAUUAUUGAAAAUAUUAAAUAUUUAAUAUCAUGAUACAACUUCUAUAAGAUACUAAUACUUUCAUUAGACAACAACUAUAUGAUAUGUAUGCGGCAAAAAAAAGGAGAAGACUACAACUCCACAAAGAUAAGGUAGAAACUUAACGAAAUGAAAUAUUUUUCAUCAUAGGUGAUGUUAUUCAUGUAUUAAAAUUAAAUUAUUCUACUGAAGUAUAUAUAAUCAUCAUUCAUUAUAACAACCAAGUACACCUUUUUUGUAAAAUCACCUCUCUAUGAUAGUCUUACUCAAAUAUUAAUAGAGUAAUAAUAUUUUGUAAAAGAUAUGUUACAUAUAAAGAUAAAAUAUUGAAAUACUUAUGGUAAUCCUUAUUAGUGUCAUGCGCAUACUAAAGUACAAGUAUGAAUAUUUAAGACAAAAUCUGUACUUAAAUGGUGUACAUCAUUUAUGUUUAUAACCUCAAGAGGAAAGGGUAUUGGUGACAUUUUUUUAAUGAAUAUUUUUUUUCUAUUUUGUUGGUUAGAUUUGUUUACAAAAUUGAGUGAAGUAAUAAAUAAUAUUAUUAAAGAAAUGUCACUUUCUCCCAUAUUUAAACUUUGAAUGUAUUUUGAAAUGUUUUAAUGAUAACUAUAAACACAAAUGUUGAUACCCUAUUCUCACUCACUCUUCUACUAUGGUAGAAAUAGAAUGUAUAUAUUUUUUUUACUUUUGUGUUGCAAAUAAUUGAGUUUAGUUCUUUAAUGUCCUUUUGUUUAAAUAGUUGAAUUAUGAGCAAUUUUCUCUUUGGUUUUAUCUUUUUUCUCGUUGACUUAUGUGCGAUUUGCUCACUAUUUCUUUUUCCAAAAAUCUCUCCAUACUAAGCGAGUUUGAAAGUUUUUUUUUUUUUGUUAUUUUCGUUGUACACUGAGCGAGUUCUCAACUUCUUUUAUUAUAUGCCCUCAUAGUAACCCCGUCAUUAAUUGAAGUAGGAUAAACAUUUUCUAAUGAAGAAAAAUCAUUAUUAGGAAAAGAACGUGCUUUAAAAAAAAAAGAAGAGAGAAAUAAUAAACUUAAUUGGAAAAAAGACAGUUUUGACUUAUUAAGUAACAAUAACAACAUUUAUAGAUCAAACUAUUGAAGACAAUGAUAUUUUUGGAUCAAACUAUCCACUAAGAAUAUUUUUAUUCAUUUUACAUGAUUUAAGAAUAUUAUAAACCCUUUUUCCGUUAAUUAAAUCAUCACAAAAUCCAAAAAAAAAAAAAAAAAGUUGUUUUCCAACACAUGUUUCCACACACUAAGAAAAGCCAAAAACAGAAAGAAAUUAAACAUUGAAAAACGAAAACAUAAGAAAAAACAGCAACCUUGAUUGAUGGUUGGAGAAGGCAAGUUGAUGAAGUAAGAGCUUCUUCUCUGUUGAUUUAACACAAAUAUUAUUUAUUUAUAUUUAUAUAAAAGAGGAACAAAAAAAUACUACUAAAUUGUGGACAAGAGAGUAUUUUUAAUAUCAUUUUUUUAACAUAUAAAUAAAGCAUCGUCUUAAAUGUGGAUAAGCAAGAGAACAUACAGUAGACCAAUUAUGUUCAAACCAAUUACAAAGCUUAAAACAAUAAUAAAGAAAUGAAACACUAAAACCACUCAAUUAAUAACCAAUGUGCUUGGCAGAAAUGCCAUGCCCCCAUCAAUACCUCUACGAUUAUGAAGACAUCAUAUAUAUAUAUAUAUAUAUAUGCUUGAAAAGCUUCACCACAUAUAAUUCCUCUUCAACAGCUCCACGUCUUUCAUUCUCUCUGGAAUCUCCUUUAAAUUUGGACAGUCAUGGAUACCAAGACCUUUAAUCAGAGGCAUUGCACUUGUGCCUAAAUCCCAUCUUUCUAGCUUUGAAAGAUCAUAAAGAUGAAGGAACUCUAGUUGACUGAAGCUGUUAUCACUGCACAUUAUUUCUUUUCCUUCAUAAGCUCCAACCAAAUGGAGAUUCCUUAGGUUUGGCAACAUUCCCAAAAUAGGCAUCGGAUCUUCCGUCAGUUUUGAGUUCUCAAGAAGCAUCAUUGUGAUGGAAUUUGGAAACAGAGGCAGUUUCCCUAUUCUCCCUUCUAACCUCAAUUUCUGGAGCUUUUCACAACAAUUAACAAAUUCAAGAGAUGGGAAUGAUUCAGUUUCUCCACAAAUCAAUUUGAGAGUGCUAAGGUUUUUCAAGCUGCUAAUGUUGUUUAGGGAGUAAGUUUUGCUAGUAUGAAACAUGCUUAAUUCUCGAAGAUUGACUAAAUCAACAGGAUCAACAUCUUUCCAUUGAUCACAACAAACUCUUUCAAGAACUUGAAGACUAGUGAGUUUGCUUAUAUGUGCCAGAGGUUUUGAAUACCAAACAACUAAAUGUCUUAGAUUUAUCAGGUUAGCUGUCUCGCGGGGUAGUUUGCAGGAGUAGUAUCCCCCCUCAUUGACAACAAGUGUCUGUAGAUUCUUGAGGUUGCCAAUGGAAGAUGGAAGAUCACGGUUAGCUCUCAAGCUUAAGAACUUAAGGUGGUACAAACUUCCUAUGGCAUCAGGUAUAGCACCACAGCCUUUAAUAUGCAAGUACAACACAUAUAUAUGUCGAAACACAUCUAUAUGUUGGAACACAUUACGAAAAUCCUGAUUGAAGAACAUAAUUGACCUCAACUUCAAAUUAGAAAGAUCAAGUAAGUGAUACAUUUCUCCUUGACCAUGAAAGGCAAGUCUGAUACAUGAAGAGGAUUUGGAGUGCUUUCUUGGAUGAUAAAUGUCAAAGAGGUUUGUGUCGGAUGCCUUUUGUAUGGCAAGAUCACGGAGUAAAUCAUGAACCCUACAUUCAGUAACUUUUUCCCAAAACGUAUUAGCCACUUGAACCAAGCUUCGUCUUAUCAGCUCAUUCAAGAAGCCUUCAGCCACAUCCUCCAUUCUUUCUUCUCCAUUUGGUAUGAAACCCUCGGCCAUCCACAACAGUAUUAUCUUUUCAGCAUCGACCUCUUGAUCUUCUGGAAAAAUACCAAAGUACAGAAAACACUGCUUGAGCACAGUUGACAAAAUCAUUGUAGCUUAAGGAUAGAAUGCAGGAGAUUUCAAUAAAUUUAUCUUCAAUAAUGUUCUUCCAAAGUUGAUCUUUCACUUCUUGCCAUUUGUCCACCCCCCCUCUAUGCGAAAGUAGUCCACUCAAUACAACAAUUGCAAGAGGUAAGCCUCUACACUUUUCCACCAUAUCCUUAGCUAGACUUUCCAUUGCUGGAACCAUUGCUCGAACAUCAAGUAGUUUCCUACAAAAGAGAUCCCAACUUUCUUCUUGGCUUAGGAAACGAAGUUCAUGGCCAAAACCUCUGUCGUCUGCUCUUUCAGCGACAUCCACUUUGCGCGUGGUAAUAAUAACUCUGCUGCCAUUCUUGCUAUCCGGGAAUGCUCUUUUCAAACUUUCCCAUGCUUCUCUCUGCCAUACAUCAUCAACCACCACAAGGUAUUUGUGUUCUUUCAAUAGAUCACGAAGGUGAACUUCUAGAUCUCCUUCUGUCAUAGUUUCUAACAAUCCUAGAGUUCCCUUGGUGCGACCUUGGAUGGAUUUUAUGAUAGUCUUAAGAAGAUCCAUUAUGUUGUACUCUUGAGAAACACAUAUCCAAGCGCGUGUAGGGAAGCUUGAGAUUAUAUUAGGACUGGUGUAGAG